rnacentral:rRNA from 1 species
UACGAAGGGGGCUAGCGUUGCUCGGAAUCACUGGGCGUAAAGCGCACGUAGGCGGUCUUUUAAGUCAGGGGUGAAAUCCUGGAGCUCAACUCCAGAACUGCCUUUGAUACUGGGAGACUUGAGUCCGGGAGAGGUGAGUGGAACUGCGAGUGUAGAGGUGAAAUUCGUAGAUAUUCGGAAGAACACCAGUGGCGAAGGCGACACACUGGCCCGUAACUGACGCUGAGGCGCGAAAGCGUGGGGAGCAAACAGG